rnacentral:rRNA from 1 species
AUUGAACGCUGGCGGCAGGCCUAACACAUGCAAGUCGAGCGGAUGAAGAGAGCUUGCUCUCUGAUUUAGCGGCGGACGGGUGAGUAAUGCCUAGGAAUCUGCCUGGUAGUGGGGGAUAACGUUCCGAAAGGAACGCUAAUACCGCAUACGUCCUACGGGAGAAAGCAGGGGACCUUCGGGCCUUGCGCUAUCAGAUGAGACUAGGUCGGAUUAGCCAGGUGGUGAGGUAAUGGCUCACCAAGGCUACGAUCCGUAACUGGUCUGAGAGGAUGAUCAGUCACACUGGAACGGAGACACGGUCCAGACUCCUACGGGAGGCAGCAGUGGGGAAUAUUGGACAAUGGGCGAAAGCCUGAUCCAGCCAUGCCGCGUGUGUGAAGAAGGUCUUCGGAUUGUAAAGCACUUUAAGUUGGGAGGAAGGGCAGUAAGUUAAUACCUUGCUGUUUUGACGUUACCGACAGAAUAAGCACCGGCUAACUUCGUGCCAGCCGCCGCAGUAACAC